CUACGGGACGCUGCAGUGGGGAAUAUUGGACAAUGGGGGCAACCCUGAUCCAGCCAUGCCGCGUGUGUGAAGAAGGCCUUUUGGUUGUAAAGCACUUUAAGCAGGGAGGAGAGGCUAAUGGUUAAUACCCAUUAGAUUAGACGUUACCUGCAGAAUAAGCACCGGCUAACUCUGUGCCAGCAGCCGCGGUAAUACAGAGGGUGCGAGCGUUAAUCGGAAUUACUGGGCGUAAAGCGAGUGUAGGUGGCUCAUUAAGUCACAUGUGAAAUCCCCGGGCUUAACCUGGGAACUGCAUGCGAUACUGGUGGUGCUAGAAUAUGUGAGAGGGAAGUAGAAUUCCAGGUGUAGCGGUGAAAUGCGUAGAGAUCUGGAGGAAUACCGAUGGCGAAGGCAGCUUCCUGGCAUAAUAUUGACACUGAGAUUCGAAAGCGUGGGGAGCAAACAGGAUUAGAUACCCGUGUAGUC
rnacentral:rRNA from 1 species